rnacentral:lncRNA from 1 species
AACUUUCGGCCAAUGACAAUUGCUGAUGAUGACCUCAAAGGCAGUAAAUUAGGCAUCGUUGGAUUCUGUUUUCUAUAAUCUAUUCAACAAUACAAUCACUACAUUCAAAAAACCAUCAAAGACGGUAUUGUCGCCACUCAAAAUUGUGGCUUCGCCGUGAUGUUGCCAUAAAAUGGCGGCGAGUCAUGGUGUACUUCUACCCUCAAUUGGAAGAGCGUUCCAGAAUCUACCGUUUAAAAGGUGGUGGUGAACUGUAAAUCUUCACCUCUAACAAUGACUUCACAGUGAGGCCACGGAUUUGGGCGACAACUACUCCUUCUCUAAUGAUCGUUUGGCACUGGUAAUUGCACCGUUAGAUAGAUCGCAAGAAAAGGAUUAUGAAGGUGCCGACAAUGUAAUCAUUCGGUAGAUUUUAUUUUUUCGAAAUUUUUGGCAGGUGACGAUCACUGUUGGUUUUUGCUUUUUAUUUUUAUUGUAAUGGAAUUUAAAUAUUUAUUAAAAAUUAAAAAAUAUAAUUGUAUUUUUGAUGAAUUAUAGAGAUAAUACAGAUAUUUUACAUAUUUUUGUGAAAUAAAAUCACUUUAACUUUUGAA